UCGAACGCGAAAGGUAGCAAUACUGAGUAGAGUGGCGGAAGGGCGAGGAAUCCGUUUCUAACGUACCCCAAGGUCAGGGAUAACUCACCGAAAGGUGUGCUAAUACUUGAUGACCCUGCGCGAUCGCAUGAUCGUGCAGGCAAAGGCUUGCUUCCUUGGGAGCGGGGAACGUCCUAUCAGCUAGUUGGUGAGGUAACGGCUCACCAAGGCUAAGACGGGUAACCGGUGUGAGAGCACGGCCGGUCGCAUCGGGACUGAGACACUGCCCGGACUCCUACGGGAGGCUGCAGUAACGAAUAUUCCGCAAUGGGCGAAAGCCUGACGGAGCAAUGCCGCGUGCAGGAUGAAGCCCUUCGGGGUGUAAACUGCUGUCAGGGUUUAAGAACACAAUGACUAGACCCAAAGGAAGAGGCGGCUAACUCUGUGCCAGCAGCCGCGGUAAUACAGAGGCCUCGAGCGUUGCGCGGAAUCACUGGGCUUAAAGGGUGCGUAGGCGGAUGUGCAAGUGCCUUGUGAAAUCCCAUGGCUCAACCAUGGAACUGCUUGGUAGACUGCACGUCUUGAGGUCGGUAGAGGUCGCUGGAACGGUUGGUGGAGCGGUGAAAUGCGUAGAUAUCAACCGGAACGCCCAAGGUGAAGACAAGCGACUGGGCCGAAUCUGACGCUGAGGCACGAAAGCGUGGGGAUCAAACGGGAUUAGAUACCCCGGUAGUCCACGCCCUAAACGAUGUACACUAGAUCGUAGAGACUCUGACGUCCCUAUGGUCGAAGAAAACUUAUUUAGUGUACCGCCUGGGGAGUACGGUCGCAAGAUUAAAACUCAAAGGAAUUGACGGGGCUCACACAAGCGGUGGAGCAUGUGGCUUAAUUCGAAGCAACGCGAAGAACCUUAUCCAGGCUUGACAUGCACGGAUUAGUUCGAUGAAAGUUGAAUGACACUCGCAAGAGUGGAACGUGCACAGGUGCUGCAUGGCUGUCGUCAGCUCGUGCUGUGAAGUGUCGCGUUAAGUCGCUUAACGAGCGAAACCCCUAUCACUAGUUGCCAGCGGGUCAUGCCGGGGACUCUAGUGAGACUGCCGGUGUCAAACCGGAGGAAGGUGGGGACGACGUCAAGUCCUCAUGGCCUUUAUGCCUUGGGCUGCACACGUGCUACAAUGCGGCCGACAGAGCGAAGCAAGACCGUAAGGUGGAGCAAAUCGCAAAAAAGGUCGCUCAGUUCAGAUUGAGGUCUGCAACCCGACCUCAUGAAGCUGGAAUCGCUAGUAAUCGAGGAUCAGCUACGCCUCGGUGAAUAUGUUCCUGAGCCUUGUACACACCGCCCGUCAAGUCAUGGGAGCCGGAAAUACCCAAAGCCGUCACGUCUCAGUGA
rnacentral:rRNA from 1 species